CAAAUUUUAAAAAAAAUUAUGCCCAAGUAAUUGAAAAUAAAAAGAGUUAUGCUGCUACAUUAAGUGAAAAAAAAGAAGCAUGGGAUUUCAUCGCAACCGACUUUAAUUCAUCUAGUAUAAUUACUGAAAGGCGAAAUGCAGAUCAACUCAAAAAACUUUGGUCAAAUCUAAAAA